GAGUUUGAUCGUGGCUCAGGACGAACGCUGGCGGCGCGCUUAACACAUGCAAGUCGAGCGAGAACCAGGACUUCGGUCCUGGGGAAAGCGGCGAACGGGUGAGUAACACGUGAGUAAUCUGCCCUCAGCACCGGGAUAGCCCAGGGAAACUUGGAUUAAUACCGGAUAGCCCGCCCUCCCCUCGGGGAGAUCGGAAAAGGUAGCUUUGGCCUCUGGCUGAGGAUGAGCUCGCGGCGGAUUAGCUUGUUGGCGGGUAAUGGCCCACCAAGGCGACGAUCCGUAGCUGGUCUGAGAGGACGAUCAGCCACACUGGGACUGAGACACGGCCCAGACUCCUACGGGAGGCAGC
rnacentral:rRNA from 1 species